AGCCAAGAUGGCCGAAUAGGAACAGCUCCGGUCUACAGCUCCCAGCGCGAGCGACGCAGAAGACGGGUGAUUUCUGCAUUUCCAUCUGAGUGGAACUUCAGUUCAGAUGAUGCAAUGAAAGCUGCAGACCUGGGAUCUGAAAAAUUUGCACUCCAUGGUUUGAUUUGUAAAUUAACAUUAACGACAUCAUCACUCACUCUCUCAUGGGGAGAGAGACAGAAGAAGGAUGGGAAGAGGAGAAUGCAUUUCCAAGAGGGAAUGACCUGCAAACCAUGCCAACUCUUUCUAACUUGAACAACUGGCAAGAUAAAAAUGAACAUGAAAUGUUGAGAACAACCACCAAGAAAAGGCUAUAACCAUUGUUCACUGUCUUUCCUUUCAGCACAAUAAAAUAAAAGGAGAUU